AUUUAUGAUAUGGGAUCCCUUUUUACUUCCAUCUGCCCAUCCCUGGUUUUACUUGGCAUUGGGGAGAUCAUCGCUUCAAGGUCUUGCCCCAAGGUACUUUUGUUGAAUGGUAUUCAUGACCGAGAAACUAGCGGCUUUUCUGCUGCUUGCUUUGUAACUGCCAUUGCAGAUGCUCUAAAUCGAACUUAUGGGGAUCCUCAUAAUUGUCUCAAGAACCAUGUAAGUAGGUAAAUUGAAUUGUUAAAAC